rnacentral:rRNA from 1 species
UACGUAGGGUGCAAGCGUUAAUCGGAAUUACUGGGCGUAAAGCGUGCGCAGGCGGUUUUGCAAGACAGAUGUGAAAUCCCCGGGCUUAACCUGGGAACUGCAUUUGUGACUGCAAGGCUAGAGUGUGUCAGAGGGGGGUGGAAUUCCGCGUGUAGCAGUGAAAUGCGUAGAGAUGCGGAGGAACACCGAUGGCGAAGGCGGUUAGCUGGGCAGUUGCUGACACUGAGGCGCGACAGCGUGGGGAGCAAACAGG